AAAUAAGCGACCUUUAUACUUAUUGGGUGUGUUAAAUUUGGGUUAUGGCUCAAGAAAAUUGAGGGGAAUAGAUAAUAAGAAUUUUUCACACUAGGGACUUGACUUAAAAUAAAUCUAUAUUAUAAUAAAAAAAAAAUUUCAUAAUAAGAAAGGGAAAUAACAAUGAAAGGGAAAAUGACAUACUUGAAAAGGGAAGGUUGAAAGAACAAGGUUUUC
rnacentral:lncRNA from 1 species